CUCCUGCUCAAUAUCACUCUCCUCGUACAAAUUUUCUCUAUACCAUUCUCACUCACUCAAAUAAAUCUAAACACAAGCACAAAAAACAGGACCACAGAUUGAAAAAAAAAACCCUACAACCUCAAAAAGACAAAGGCAUGGUCAUGUAUAUGCAAACAUAGAGUUUUGCACGCCAAAGAUAUUUCCAAAAAAUUUACUGUCACAAAAUAAGCGAAAAGAGAAGAACCUGAUGAGGCCACCACAUUAUCUCACUGACCAAU
rnacentral:lncRNA from 1 species